rnacentral:rRNA from 1 species
UGAGUGACGAAGGUCUUCGGAUUGUAAAGCUCUUUUGGCGGGGACGAUAAUGACGGUACCCGCAGAAUAAGCCCCGGCUAACUUCGUGCCAGCAGCCGCGGUAAUACGAAGGGGGCUAGCGUUGUUCGGAAUUACUGGGCGUGAAGCGCACGUAGGCGGAUAUUUAAGUCAGGGGUGAAAUCCCAGAGCUCAACUCUGGAACUGCCUUUGAUACUGGGUAUCUUGAGUAUGGAAGAGGUAAGUGGAAUUCCGAGUGUAGAGGUGAAAUUCGUAGAUAUUCGGAGGAACACCAGUGGCGAAGGCGGCUUACUGGUCCAUUACUGACGCUGAGGUGCGAAAGCGUGGGGAGCAAACAGGAUUAGAUACCCUGCUAGUCCACGCCGUAAACGA